rnacentral:sRNA from 1 species
AGUACAAGGAUAUGCCA